AACUUUUACAAUGCUUGGAAACAGCGAUAAGGGGACCUCGAGUGCCAGGUUACAAAUCUGGCUGUCGUGAUGCCUAAAAAGCACUGCAUAGCAAGGCCGGGCAAGACCGGUGCCAGCCGCCGCGGUAACACCGGCGGCUCGAGUGGUAACCGCUAUUAUUGGGUCUAAAGGGUCUGUAGCCGGCCGGAUAAGUCUUUUGGGAAAUCUGGCAGCUUAACUGUCAGGCUUUCAGAGGAUACUGUCUGGCUCGAGGCCGGGAGAGGUGAGAGGUACUUCAGGGGUAGGGGUGAAAUCUUGUAAUCCUUGAAGGACCACCAGUGGCGAAGGCGUCUCACCAGAACGGACCUGACGGCAAGGGACGAAAGCUAGGGGCACGAACCGGAUUAGAUACCCGGGUAG
rnacentral:rRNA from 1 species